ACAAGCUCACCUAUUUACAGAUUUCUAGUAUGGCACCCGGCCACAGCUUAAUGGCCUUGUUUUAUAUUACUUUUGGGAUUGACAGAAGGGUUACAGGACAGUAAGAGGUACCGAGAGAGGCUACAGGGCAUUGACAGGUACAGAGAGGGGCUACAGGGCACAGAGAGGUACCGAGAGGGGCUACAGGACGCAGAGAGGUACCAAGAGGGGCUACAGGGCAUUGACAGGUACAGAGAAGGGCUACAGGGCACAGAGAGGUACCGAGAGGGGCUACAGGGCGCAGAGAGGUACCGAGAGGGGCUACAGGGCACUGAGAGGUACCGAGAGGGGCUACAGGGCACUGAGAGGUACCGAGAGGGGCUACAGGGCACUGAGAGGUACCGAGAGGGGCUACAGGGCACUGAGAGGUACCGAGAGGGGCUACAGAGAAGGGUUACAGGGCAUUGGAACGUACAGUGAAGGGUUACAGGGCACUGAGAGGUACAGAGAGGAGUUACAGGCAGUGGGAGGUAAUGAGGCAUUUAUAUUCUUCUCUUCUUAUAUUUU